rnacentral:lncRNA from 1 species
UUCUGUUAAAUAGUAUGACAAUAAUGUAAUGAGGACUCCAUUGAGUGUGGAUAUUGUCUAGAUGACAAUAUUCUUAUUAAAACUCUUAGAUUAUGUUUUGUUGUAUUUUACACGACGGUUGUAUAAUUAAGUUUGUAUUUGUUUUCUGUACCAUGUAUUUGGCGACUAAAGAUGGGUGAUGUAUACCUCUUUUGGGGGCAUCACAUAACCAAUUCAGUUUUAUUGGGUUACCAAUUAAUUAUAAAAAAUCUAUUAUAGAUUUUUUUUUUCAUAGUGCAGUUGGUAGAUAAACCUUAAUACAAAUGUAACCAGCAAAAAUAAAAAUGGUUACCAACAGUACUGAAAUUUCUCUUGGUUACCCACAAAAACUAAAAUGGUUACCUUUGUAUAAAUGUUUGGCUACCAACUUCACUAAAAUUCUUCUCCUUUUAAUUUCUGGACUAAAUCAACCUUUGUCAUAAU